rnacentral:rRNA from 1 species
CCUACGGGUGGCAGCAGUGAGGAAUAUUGGUCAAUGGACGAGAGUCUGAACCAGCCAAGUAGCGUGAAGGAUGACUGCCCUAUGUGCUGUAAACUUCUUUUAUAUGGGAAUAAAAUGUUCCACGUGUGUGAUUUUGUAUGUACCCUAUGAAUCAGGAUCGGCUAACUCCGUGCCAGCAGCCGCGGUAAUACGGAGGAUCCGAGCGUUAUCCGGAUUUAUUGGGUUUAAAGGGAGCGUAGAUGGAUGUUUAAGUCAGUUGCGAAAGUUUGGGGCUAAACCGUGGAAUUGCAGUGGAAACUGGGAGGAUGGAGUGCAGGAGGGGUGAGCGGAAUGCGUAGUGUAGCGGUGAAAUGCGUAGAUAUGAGGAGGAACACCGGUGGCGAAGGCGGUUCACUGGACUGGAACUGACGUUGAGGCUCGAAAGCGUGGGGAGCAAACAGGAUUAGAUACCCUAGUAGUC